GCAGCCGCGGUAAUACGUAGGGGGCAAGCGUUAUCCGGAUUUACUGGGUGUAAAGGGAGCGUAGACGGUUGUGCAAGUCUGAUGUGAAAGCCCGGUGCUCAACGCCGGGACUGCAUUGGAAACUGUAUAACUAGAGUGCAGGAGAGGUAAGCGGAAUUCCUAGUGUAGCGGUGAAAUGCGUAGAUAUUAGGAGGAACACCAGUGGCGAAGGCGGCUUACUGGACUGUAACUGACGUUGAGGCUCGAAAGCGUGGGGAGCAAACAGGAUUAGAUACCCC
rnacentral:rRNA from 1 species